rnacentral:tRNA from 1 species
GCCUGGGUGGCUCAGUAGGUUGAGCGUCCAACUUCAGCUCAGAUCAUGAUCUCACGGUUUGUGGGUUCGAGCCCCAUGUCGGGCU